GAGGAUGGCAUCGUGUGACCAUGGCAAUGGGUGUUUUUGUGGGAGAAGCCGGAGUCCGACUCAGAACAAGAAGAAAGUCAGCAGCCAGGAAUGAACAUGGAUGUUUCUCAGUGGUUACAUGAAGACUACAGCAGCUUCCUGAGCCACUGUCAUGCAUGGUGGACCAUCCCGGCCUAGAACCUGUCUGCCUGAAUGUAUUUUCGCUGCAGAAUGCACUGAACAUUAAUCGGGCAGACUAUGGACCUUUACGUCUGAGGGGACUAGUGUAGUAAGCUCUUAGUCCAUACAUACAUCGCAAAAAUGUUAUGAUGAAAAGUACAUAACUGCUUCCUCUAUCUUACAUUGCUAAUAGUUUACUGUAUUUUACUUGCUGACAUGAAAAUCUAAUUGCCAUAGAUGUGAACACUGAGUGCUGGCUUUAUGUUGAAUUGUGUCCAGCCAACAUAGCCUACAGAAGCUUUGUAAGCUGGCGCUGGGGCGGAGAGUGAAAGUUGUGCUGCCUGUCUGCGUGGUGCUGAGGAUUUGUGCAAAGUUCCUGAACCUUGACACAUAACUGGCUAUAAUGUCCAGCUUGUCGGAUCAUACUGAGCCGAGAGGUCUUCAGGGAUUAUGAGUUUCAGCACCUUGUUCACAUAUGGGUCAGGGUCAUGGAAAUCCUCGAAGAUCAGGUCCAACAGUGCAUCAGUCUGCAGUGCAAUAAACAAAACAUAAUGUUUACAGGAAAUUGCACUAGAACCAAAAAGCCUUGUGUUGCAGUGUAACGUUUCUCUUAUUUCUCCUAAUUACUUCUUAUUUAUACAUUCCGCUUAUUAUUUAUUUUGAAAACCAUCUUAGAAUAAUUCUGAUUUUAUUUGUUAGUGUUUAUUUUCAACCUUUUGUGUUAUGCCUGUGUGUCCAUGCUUAUUUUAAUAUGUGGGGCUUAAAUAAAAGAUUGUAAAACUUA